rnacentral:rRNA from 1 species
GACGAACGCUGGCGGCGUGCUUAACACAUGCAAGUCGAACGGAAAGGCCCUGCUUUCCGGGUGCACGAGUGGCGAACAGGUGAGUAACACGUGGGGGAUCUGUGCUGCACACCGCGGUAAGCCUGGGAAACUGGGUCUAAUACCGGAGAGGAGACAGCAUUAGUGUGAGGGUUGGGGAGUUUUUUCGGUGUAGGAUGAGCUCGCGGCCUAUCAGCUUGUUGGUGGGGUAAUGGCCUACCAAGGCGGCGACGGGUAGCCGGCCUGAGAGGGUGGACGGCCACAUUGGGACUGAGAUACGGCCCAGACUCCUACGGGAGGCAGCAGUGGGGAAUAUUGCACAAUGGGCGCAAGCCUGAUGCAGCGACGCCGCGUGGGGGAUGACGGCCUUCGGGUUGUAAACUCCUUUCGCUAGGGACGAAGCUUUUUGUGACGGUACCUAGAUAAGAAGCACCGGCUAACUACGUG